rnacentral:rRNA from 1 species
GAUGAACGCUGGCGGCGUGCCUAAUACAUGCAAGUCGAGCGAACAGACGAGGGGCUUGCUCCUCUGACGUUAGCGGCGGACGGGUGAGUAACACGUGGAUAACCUACCUAUAAGACUGGGAUAACUUCGGGAAACCGGAGCUAAUACCGGAUAAUAUAUUGAACCGCAUGGUUCAAUAGUGAAAGACGGUUUUGCUGUCACUUAUAGAUGGAUCCGCGCCGCAUUAGCUAGUUGGUAAGGUAACGGCUUACCAAGGCAACGAUGCGUAGCCGACCUGAGAGGGUGAUCGGCCACACUGGAACUGAGACACGGUCCAGACUCCUACGGGAGGCAGCAGUAGGGAAUCUUCCGCAAAGGGCGAAAGCCUGACGGAGCAACGCCGCGUGAGUGAUGAAGGUCUUCGGAUCGUAAAACUCUGUUAUUAGGGAAGAACAAAUGUGUAAGUAACUAUGCACGUCUUGACGGUACCUAAUCAGAAAGCCACGGCUAACUACGUG